GAUGAACGCUGGCGGCGUGCUUAACACAUGCAAGUCGAGCGAAGCAUUUAAUUCGAAGUUUUCGGAUGGAGAGUUAUCUGACUGAGCGGCGGACGGGUGAGUAACGCGUGGGGAACCUGCCUCAUACAGGGGAAUAACAGUUAGAAAUGACUGCUAAUGCCGCAUAAGCGCACAGUACCGCAUGGUACAGUGUGAAAAACUCCGGUGGUAUGAGAUGGCCCCGCGUCUGAUUAGGCAGUUGGCGGGGUAACGGCCCACCAAACCGACGAUCAGUAGCCGACCUGAGAGGGUGACCGGCCACAUUGGGACUGAGACACGGCCCAA
rnacentral:rRNA from 1 species